rfam:Danio rerio chromosome 13, GRCz11 reference primary assembly.
GGCUACAGCCAUGUCACCCUGCAGCCCAAGACCGGUUACUCACUGAAGCUAAGCAGGGCUGAGCCUGGUCAGUACCUGGAUGGGAGACCACUAGGGGACACUAGGUUGCUGUUGGAA